rnacentral:rRNA from 1 species
CCUUGCGGUCGUACUCCCAGGCGGAGUGCUUAAUGCGUUAGCUGCAGCACUAAGGGGCGGAAACCCCCUAACACUUAGCACUCAUCGUUUACGGCGUGGACUACCAGGGUAUCUAAUCCUGUUUGAUCCCCACGCUUUCGCACAUCAGCGUCAGUUACAGACCAGAAAGUCGCCUUCGCCACUGGUGUUCCUCCAUAUCUCUGCGCAUUUCACCGCUACACAUGGAAUUCCACUUUCCUCUUCUGCACUCAAGUUUUCCAGUUUCCAAUGACCCUCCACGGUUGAGCCGUGGGCUUUCACAUCAGACUUAAAAAACCGCCUACGCGCGCUUUACGCCCAAUAAUUCCGGAUAACGCUUGCCACCUACGUAUUACCGCGGCUGCUGGCACGUAGUUAGCCGUGGCUUUCUGAUCAGGUACCGUCAAGACGCGCACAGUUACUUACACGUUUGUUCUUCCCUGAUAACAGAGUUUUACGAUCCGAAGACCUUCAUCACUCACGCGGCGUUGCU